rnacentral:rRNA from 1 species
UACGUAGGGUGCGAGCGUUUGUCCGGAAUUAUUGGGCGUAAAGAGCUCGUAGGCGGCUUGUCGCGUCGUGUGUGAAAUCUCAGGGCUCAACUCUGACAUUGCAUACGAUACGGGCAGGCUUGAGUUCGGUAGGGGAGACUGGAAUUCCCGGUGUAGCGGUGAAAUGCGCAGAUAUCAGGAGGAACACCGGUGGCGAAGGCGGGUCUCUGGGCCGAUACUGACGCUGAGGAGCGAAAGUGUGGGGGAGCGAACAGG